rnacentral:rRNA from 1 species
AGUGAACGCUGGCGGUAGGCCUAACACAUGCAAGUCGAACGGCAGCACAGUAAGAGCUUGCUCUUACGGGUGGCGAGUGGCGGACGGGUGAGGAAUACAUCGGAAUCUACUUUUUCGUGGGGGAUAACGUAGGGAAACUUACGCUAAUACCGCAUACGACCUACGGGUGAAAGCAGGGGAUCUUCGGACCUUGCGCGAUUGGAUGAGCCGAUGUCGGAUUAGCUAGUUGGCGGGGUAAAGGCCCACCAAGGCGACGAUCCGUAGCUGGUCUGAGAGGAUGAUCAGCCACACUGGAACUGAGACACGGUCCAGACUCCUACGGGAGGCAGCAGUGGGGAAUAUUGGACAAUGGGCGCAAGCCUGAUCCAGCCAUACCGCGUGGGUGAAGAAGGCCUUCGGGUUGUAAAGCCCUUUUGUUGGGAAAGAAAAGCAGCAGGUUAAUACCCCGCUGUUCUGACGGUACCCAAAGAAUAAGCACCGGCUAACUUUGUG